CUCCUUGCGACACAGGCCUUGUGAUGCUGCUCCAUCCUCACGGUUGUGUCAGAGGACUGGACAGCACGCCUAUAAUGAGGAAGGGAGGAGGGGUCCGUUUCUGUCUUUGGUUAUCUAGCUGUAUGAGUUUUAAAUACCUGUCAUAAAGCUAGAUAACCGAAAGUAGGAAUGACUUCCGUCAUCUGCGCGUUCACACCUGAGGAAAGGCGGUGAGGCUCCUUGGGAAGAUUAUCACCGGCAAAAGAGCUCCUUUUGGCGGCACCGUCGUCGAACAAAAACAAGGAGGGAAGGGCCCGGAUGUGCCGCCUUCGCACCCGACGCCCCGUCGCCUGUUUUUACCCGGAACGCCCCGGUGUGCCAUCUGUACCGCCGGCAGAGACGCUCCGCUGUGCCAGGAGACGGACAAAGACCUACCCAAGAUCCCCGGAGCACGGGGCGCGCUCAGAGGAGCCAUCUUGGGAGAUGUUUCAUCGAGACAUCUAAAAUGGCUGGGCUGGCACUUGAGGAUCGGACCAGAACCCAGAACACAUCAGCAACAACAACAAAAAAAUCGCCACCCGACUUGCAGGACUCUGAGCAUCGGAUCCGGAUUUGACUUUGUGACUGGAUUCUACUGCCAUGAAUUGUAUUGAUCUGGGUUGAGUUUGCAAAUCUAAAUAAUCGGACAAUAAUUGGACCGGUUUAUCUUCAUUCAGAUGACAUUUGUUGUAAUUUAAAUGCUUGUAAAUAACCGGAACUGAAUGUCGCAGUCUGGUACCCGGACAUCACAGAAACUUUUUGAAGUUAAAACAAUGCUGUUAAAAAAAGCGUGUAAAAUUUCAGAAAAGAGCCCAUUAAAAAUGAUUACAUACUCUUACCUCGAUUAAUAAUGUAUGUGUAUUCCUCGAAAAUGUUAAUAAUGCACUUUUGUCAGUCCUGAAUCUCCUUUCCCACCUGGUAUGAUAAAGUAAUCAUAUUUUAGAUAAAAAAUGUGCAAUAUGAAUGAUGAACUGUAAUACUGCCAAGAAUAAAAUGCUAAAAUUCA